UGAAAACGGAAGAAAUGAUAAUUAUGCCGGCCCAGCAUCAUCAACAUUGAAAAAUGCCCCGGCACGUAGUUGUUAAAGUCGACACAGGUGCACAUGGCAACACCUUGCUUCUUCGCAUGUACCGUUGCACGUAUCCAGAUAGACUCACUGGUGACAGUUUCCCAAAGUCAGUUUGCAUCCAACCAACACACCGUAUUGUGCACCUAUAAUUACAUGAAGAUCAACCAGCGUGGGUAGACAACACUCACCUGCCAGUAUGACUAGAGUGGAUGGAAUGAGGCAGAAUUCUUCAUCGUAGAGUCUGAAGGCCCAGCAAUACUGUGACUGCCCACAUAACAACAACUUAAGCUCGUGACCCUGCACUGUGCAAUUACCACCCUACAUUGUCCCCCUAUCAACUCAACUGAGGAGCCACUGCAGCAGUAUCCUGAUCAGUUUGAGAGAAUUGGCAAUUUUCGAGACGCAUAUCAUGUUGUUCCCAAAGAUAGAGUCCAACCCACUAUUGCAAAUGUCUCAUAAAGCUGAAAGAUGAGCUAAAAACAGAGUUAAACAACAUGGAACUGCCACUGAGCAGUCUCACAGUCCCCAGGCGUGAAAAUGGCUAAUUCAGAAUUUGCCUUGAACCCAAGGACUUGAACAAAGUGAUUAAAGAUGCCAUUGCAAGACUCCCGCCAUAGAAGAAAUUACCCAUAAGUUCUCAGGUGCACAUUUCUUCUGUAAACUAGAUGCAAAAAAUAGUUACUGGUCAAUGCGACUUGAUGACGAAAGUUCCCUACUUGCAACUUUCAACAGUCCUUUGGGCAUUAUCGUUACCUGAGAUUACCUUUGGGCUAGUGAUGAGCCAAGUGGUGUUCCAGAUGCACAUGGACCAGUUUCUUGAGUCAUGCCCCGGCACAGUCAGCGUUGCAGAUGACAUUGAGGUAUUUGGUGCAACAGAGUAUGAGCACGAUUACAAUCUCCAUCAUUUGAUGAAGGCAGCUUGCCAGUUAGGGUUGAUGUUCAACAGCGCGAAAUGUGCAAUCAAACCUCUGAACAUCAAGUUUUUCGGCAUGGUUUGCAUCCCGACCCUGACAAGGUUGCAGCCAUCAAACAGAUGAGACUCCCUCAAGACAAGACAAUGCUCCAAGAAUUCCUUAGCAUGGUAACCUAUGUCAGUCUCUUCAUUCCCCACUUCUCACACAGCAACACAGGAACACACAGCUGACCUCAGAGGGUUACUGAAAAAAGAUAUCGAUUUUGUCCAGUCUCCUUCACACCAAAUGGCAUUUGAGAAGGUCAAAGAUGUCAACUGUACCGAAACAAUAUUUACCUGCUUCGAUCCCUCAAAAGAAACCACAAUCCAGGUCGAUGCAUCAAGCAGAGGUGAAGGAGCAGCCCUGACUCAAGAUGGCACGGCAAUCGCCUUUGCAUCAGAAUCCCUGAGCAAGACACAACAGAUAAUAUGCCAACAUAAAGCGUGAACUCCUUGCGGUAGUGUUUGUAUUAGAACGAUUCCACACCUAUGUCUACGACAAUGGUUUCAUUGUUGAGAGUGACCACAAACCCUUGGAGAUGAUUCAGCGGAAAUCACUUAAAGUCGGCUCCUCCAAGACUUCAACGUAUGCUCCUUCAUCUUCAACCCAAUGACGUCAAGUUCAUUUACUGUCCCGGUAAACAGAUGUUACUGCCAGACACCCUGUCCCGUGUCCCAGACACAUAUGACGACCAUAUCGACCUUGAUCUACAUGUGACAUUUGUCAGAUUCAUGCAACCCAGACUGCAUACGCUGCAACAACACACGCUGCCUCAAACACAACCCUCACGAAGCUGAAGGAAGUCGUCAUUUGUGGAUGGCCAGAAUGAUGGCAAAACUUACCCAUAGCUCUCCAUCCCUUUUGGCCUUUCCGAGAUAAGCUAGCUCUAGCAGAUGGGCUAAUUCAUUGUUAUCCCUGCUACACAGCAGUAGCAUGCUCUCUUCCAGCUACGUGAAGGCCACCAAGGCAGCGAAAAGACAAAAGCUACGAGCAAAUGACUGUGUCCACUAGAUUGGCAUAACAAGCGACAUCAAAUCAUUGGUCAAGAACUGUCAAACUUGUCAGCACUUCCAAAGAGCACAACCUCAGGAAACUCUACUUCAACACACUAUCCCUACACGACCAUGGCAAGUUGAAAGUACUUGUUCUCCUUCGAAGGUGAGAAUUCCUCAUCAUGGCUGACUGCUAUUCAAAGUUCCCAUUCCUCAGAAAGUUUUCAGUCCCUUGCACCAGCUCAGCAGUCAUAACAGCCAAAAGCAUAUCUUCGCUGAAAAUGGCAUUCCAGAACGAGUCCUCAGUGACAAUGCAUGACACUACGAUUCUUCUGAAUACGGACAUUUCUCUGAAACCCGGGGCUUUGACCACAUCACUUCUUCACCCCACUAUCCCCCGUCCAACGGUUUCAUCGAGAGAGCCAUACAAACUAUGAAGGAGACACUGAUGAAAGCCCGAUCCAGCGGUGGUGACAUGCACAUGGUAUUGCUCUGCAUCCGUAGAACUCCAGUUGAUCUUAAGAUCCCUAGCCCGGCACAACUCCUGUACAACAGAAGAGUUUGUGGCAAUCUACCGCGAGGAUCAAAAAUACCUUAACCUCCUGAGAUGAAAUUUGAGACCGUCUCCACCAGCGCCAAGUGAGCCAGAAACAGUACCACGACAGACGUGCCACCGACCUCCCACCUUAAGACUGGCCAAACAGUCUUCACCCGUGACCCGAUAUCCGGCUGGUGGACACCAGCAACCAUAAAGGAAAAAUGCACUGAGCCCCGAUCGUGCAUAGUGCAUACUCCCAAUGGCAGCUUUCUACGUCACAACCGUAAACACAUCCAUGACUUAGAGCCAGUCAAGAAGACAGUGACCUUUGAUCUUGACCCCCCUAACCAUCAAGUACUACCAUCCGAUUUACCAGCUGCAAAUUCAGCAAUGACAAUGCAGACACUUACUGUCCAGGUGAUCCAAGAGCAACCCUACAAGACUCGCUGUGGACGACUUGUGUGAAAGCCGGACAGACUGUCAUUGUGAACACGAAUAUCUUCUUCAGACUCUCCUUCAACUGCUGUCCCUCAAAUUCUUCAUCAAUUCCCUGGCAAAACCCUUUGGUUUAAACCCAUUUGACUUUAAUUCACCGUUUAUCAGCCGAAAAUCCAAUUAAAAAAAAGAAGAAAAAGGAAAACAAAACUUUCCAGUUUGGGCAGAAUUUUGGCACAAUUUUGUUUGUUUUUAGAAGUCAAGAUUUUUUUGUAUUCUUUCACUUUCAUUAUUUCCAGAUUUUUUUUCACCAGAAAGAUCCGAAAAGUUCCUCAGUUAUUUAUAAGCUCUUCCGUAGACAAGACAGUAGAUUUUGUUUUGUUCUCCUAAUUUCUAAACUUUCCAGGAAGCCACUUCAUUUUUUUCUUUUCAAGUGCAACUAAUUUUUUUCUUUGACAAGAAUAGAUGCAAAUUGAUCCAUCAGCAUCGUUUAUUUAACCAACUCAUUUUCUUUCCAAAGAGAACCGUUUAAAGUUUGAAAGUCAUUUUGUUCAAAGUUACUUUUUUUCUAAAAAGGGGGAUGUUACGUCUCCACCUGUCACAUGACGGUGCUGUACACUUGUGUGUGUUCCCAUUUCUCAGGCCACGUUCUAGUAACAAAGGGUUUGGUCAACCUUGUGAGUGACCAAUCGUAUUCUUGAUGGAAACAUCCAUCAAGAGAUUCUGAGGGCAUUUAAGAGCCAAUGCCAGGGUCAGAAUUUAGUCUGCGCCCAUACCACCGCAGACCACUGGUCAACAGCCCAACAUUUCAAGUUGACACAGUAGCCAUAUUGGCACUGAUGCCUGACUGUAGUGUGACAUGGUUGAGUGUCCUGACUCGUCCACCUCUAGUCUCUGCCUACAGUACUAGUCAAUGUCCUGGCACUGACACCAUUGGGCACCUGUUGGAAUCAUAGCACAUCACUGAAAUGGACUCUGCAAGUUGAGGGUAACAGGGUUAUGGAAAACUUUCGGAAGGGGCAUUGAAGUCUGGGAUUUCGUAUGCAGAUCAGUCCAUUGACUAGAUGUUCCAAACCAUCCAUCAUUCAGAACAAACUCAGGCGUGCUCUUCUCAGGCAUCCAUCUGUCCCCAAGUGUGAUGAGUGGAUUUUGUGCUUCAUGUCUUUUCACAAUGUUUGUGGCAUGACGACUCUGUCGUCUCUGAAAAUCAUACCAUCCUGGAUCGCUAACUCAUCACGAUAGCUGUAGUAUGGCUUUAGCUGCUCUGGAAGGGAGUUCCACUCAUCCAGCCAGCCCUCGAUGAUUGUGUGCUUCAAGAGCUGAAGAGUGUCGUCUUUCGCUCUUUCACAUUGCAUCUGUGACAGGCGCUCCUCAGGGAUAGGCAAAAAACAGCAGCAAGGCCGAAGAUGUUACUGUCUGAAGUGUGUUAUUUGCCGCGGCUUCCUUUGACAAACCUAGGCAGCACAAACCAGAUGCUACAAACGCUCAAAGAUUAGAUUUGCAGAAAAAAGUGUACAGAUUAUCUUCCAAUGGUAAACAUGGUUUAAGGCUUUUUGCCUUGUUUGGAACAGAUUCAAGCUUUUUGGAUCAGGGAAUAUAAGUAGAUGAUUUUCAGUUAAACGUAACACAACUUCUUUUUACAUAACAAACCCAUAUUUUAAGAACUGCUUUUCAGGGUGUAUUUUUGUGUAUAGAGAAAGACAUCAUGCAUGUUUUAAGUUACUUUGUCAUAUCCGAGUAAAUAAAAAUUAAUUACAAAGCAUUAGACAAAUGGUUCACUUAAGUGGAAACAUUUCAAAAUGUCUGUCAUAUGUACUGUUCAUAAUUGCACAAGGUAAUCACUAUCAUCUCUUUAAUUAACAUGUGAAAUAGGACUCAGAAAUUCUUGAGAAACCUGGAGAAAUUAACUGAUGUACCAUUUUCCUGCAUUUUCGAGAUUUAAUGCAUAAUUUUCGUUAAAUUGUAGGAACUUCUUGUUGGAAAAAAAACAGGUACCUGUAAUGGCUAUCAUGUUCCUAGAAAGUAUAUAGCAAGAUAGACUUUGAGGCUUACUACCAAACUUUCUUAUAUGUGCCCAAAAAAGUUAAAAAUUUAGAUGCCCUGAAAUUUCAGUCUUUGCAGAAUCUCAAUUUCAGAUUUUCCACAAACAGUUGAGUUUUUUGUGACAAACAUAAUUUACAUAGGUAGAAAUGGAUAUUUAAAUAUAGAAAGGCUUGGAAAUAUAUUGUGGAGUAUAUAUACUGAAGUAUA